AUACUUACCUGGCAGGGGAGACACCAUAAUCACGUAGGUCGUUUUCCCAGGGUGAGGCCCAUCCAUUGCACUUGGGAUGUGCUGACCCCUGCGAUUUCCCCACAUGUGCGAAACUCAACUGCAUAAUUUGUAAUAGUGGGGGACUGCAUCCGCACUCUCCCCUG